GUUUGCAGUCCUGCCCCCCUAUCCUCUCGAUUUUGUAUGAUUUUGGAGCCAAGCAGUGUUGAGCCUGGUUAGUACUUGAAUGGGAGACCCCCUAGGUAUGCCAGGUGCUGUAAGCG
rnacentral:rRNA from 1 species